AUGGGCACAAGGCUCCUCUGCUGGGCAGCCAUAUGUCUCCUGGGGGCAGAUCACACAGGUGCUGGAGUCUCCCAGUCCCUGAGACACAAGGUAGCAAAGAAGGGAAAGGAUGUAGCUCUCAGAUAUGAUCCAAUUUCAGGUCAUAAUGCCCUUUAUUGGUACCGACAGAGCCUGGGGCAGGGCCUGGAGUUUCCAAUUUACUUCCAAGGCAAGGAUGCAGCAGACAAAUCGGGGCUUCCCCGUGAUCGGUUCUCUGCACAGAGGUCUGAGGGAUCCAUCUCCACUCUGAAGUUCCAGCGCACACAGCAGGGGGACUUGGCUGUGUAUCUCUGUGCCAGCAGCUCAGC